rnacentral:rRNA from 1 species
ACGUGGGGUGCUAGCGUUAUUCGGAAUUAUUGGGCGUAAAGGGUGUGUAGACGGCAUACUAAGCUUGCUGUUAAAUCCUCCGGCUUAACCGGAGAAAAGCAGUGGGAACUGGUAAGCUAGAGUGUGGAAGAGGGGAGUGGAAUUCCCGGUGUAGCAGUAAAAUGCGUAGAUAUGUGGAGGAACACCGAUGGCGAAGGCAGC